rnacentral:tRNA from 1 species
GCCCAGUUCGUCUAGUGGCCUAGGACGCUGCCCUCUCACGGCGGUAACAGGGGUUCGACUCCCCUACUGGGUACCA